rnacentral:rRNA from 1 species
UACAUGGGGUGCAAACGUUGCUCGGAAUUACUGGGCGUAAAGGGCUCGUAGGCGGCCAACUAAGUCAGACGUGAAAUCCCUCGGCUUAACCGGGGAACUGCGUCUGAUACUGGAUGGCUUGAAUCCGGGAGAGGGAUGCGGAAUUCCAGGUGUAGCGGUGAAAUGCGUAGAUAUCUGGAGGAACACCGGUGGCGAAGGCGACAUCCUGGACCGGUAUUGACGCUGAGUGAGCGAAAGCCAGGGGAGCAAACGGG